rnacentral:lncRNA from 1 species
UGCUGUAUGUGGAUUUCUAACAACAUGAUAAAACAUUCUCAAGAAUAACUUUGUUUCAUCACUAUUUAAAAACCUUGGUGCCUCCCAAACACAGCACAGAAAUCGAGCAGAGGAGAUAGACUUUGGAGACAAAACACACCAACUAAAACGUAUCGUCGUGCACAAACAUGUUACCAGAAACAAUGGAAUAAGAUCAACAAUAUGUAUUAGAAAACUUCUGAAACUAUAUCAUAAGAACACCACCCAAAAACCCAAGGUGUCCCUUUUCUCUCAGCAAUCCCUGGGCAAUCAAGGGAGACUACUUCCUCUUGAUACUCAGGCUGAAAACAAUGGUUCAAAGAAGAUUAAUUCCAAGGAUUUUUGAACAGGUCUAUGCUAGCCAUCUUAAACUGCGAUAGCAAUGGAGCAAGCCGUACAACUUGACAGGUCAACAACAUCAUGACAUGGCGGUGCCAACCGCAGCCGCUCCUCGCGGCACAACAUGGUGCCCUGCCCCUCACACCGCGCCACUGCCGCACUCUUACCUUACCAGGGGCCACAGACCCUGCCGGAUUCUGGAAGUGUCAGCCUCAAAAGAAAGCACAGCCCAAGCCGCUGCUCACUUCACCUUGCUCUCCCUGCAGACAGCACGGCAGCCCACAGCCAAGUAGUGCCAGCGCUGGAAGCUUCCUGAAGGUGGGCGGCAACCGGGGCGGCACAGCCGGGCCUUGCCUCACAGUGGCCCGCAUGCUGUCCCUGCGCUGUGGCUGCCCAGCUGCUGGCAGGCGUUUUCGUGGCUUCUGCAAGCAACUUGUGCAGGACUUGUGCAGAGGGACAAUCUGUCAUGAAAAUACCAGGAGACAGAAACAUACCUCUGUGCAGUCCCUUCAAUUGUUCACUGCAGACACAAAGGAUAGAGCAAAGAAAACAGGAAUUAGGAUAAGGACAGGAGUCCUGUGCUGCAGUGCCUUGCUGAAGAAAAUAAUAACAAGAAUCACUGAAAAGAAGAGAAAAUAAUAUAAGACUUAGCUGUGCGGGCUCUAUUUGGCAGAGUUUCCUUUUAGGCCCUAAUCACAGGAACGAGGUUUGUUCUAAAUUGUUUGCAUUUGCUUCCGAAUGUCUGGAAAUUUGCUCGUUAGGUGUUCAGGUGGAGGAAAAAGCUUUCUCAGGUGCAGAAAGAAGUAAUGCUGUGCAGCCAGUGGAAAGGAACAUUCAAACAAUUAUACACCCUACUGCUUCAAGUCAUAUUAAAACAAUCUAUAAGCUAAUUCAAUGCUAACACAAUGUCUCAUAAAUGGUAAGCAGGCCGGAUGAACAUCCUGGCUGAGCAGGCUGGAUGAACACCUUUCCAAGUUGAGAAAUAGAGUAGCACUGCAUUGUUCAGCAAGGUUUUAACUGCCACUUCUGUGUUUAAAGCGGGUAUAUAAAAUCAGUGUUUCUAACACAGAUUUAUUUCCGGAAUGUGUCAGACAGUUCAGAAAAGAUUAUAUUCU